AAUGAUAAAAAGAAAACAGCGUUAUCGUUGUUAUUGUUCUACUUUGAACACAGGAGUGAGGUAAUAUCUGUUUAAACAAGGUGAUAGAAUGUAUUUAAGCAAUUCUAUUUUCAGGAAUCAGGCAAUACUAAAUGGCGCAGGAAUAAUUUAAUUUGUGAGAUAAUACGGAAUUGUUUUGACGACUAUUUUUCGGCCUUCAAGAGGCGCAUUUGAAUUUUAUUUUCGAAUUUUUCACUCGACUUGAAAUGUGAAAUUUAAUCAACUUGUUCAUUAAUUAGAUUAAACUUUAAUCACUCACUGAGCCUUGGAUAAUUGAUGAUAUAGCAAAAUAUCAUGGCACCGACUGUGACCUGGAAAAACGGAGCAACUCCACACUUUUUGGGU